AUGAAUUCCUAAUUUGCCUUAAAAAUGGGGUAUUUUCAUGUUAUUUUUAGUGGCUCUUUAAACUUCAAAUGGUUAUUAUUUUGAUUGUCUACCCAAUUAUCAUCUUAGAAGUACUUCUUUAUUAUGAUAAUAAUAAUAUUAUUAUUAAGUUCAGUAUGAUUGGUUUAAUAUGAUUUUUUGAGUAUUUGCACAUCAAUGGAAGAUAAG
rnacentral:lncRNA from 1 species